rnacentral:lncRNA from 1 species
AUUAUUUUUGGAUCGAUCACAUGCUCAACAAUCGAUCGAUCCGUAAAAAGAUGGUCGAUCUCCUUGGCCAGGUAAGUACAAUUUUAGCAAAAAUAUCUUUGAUUUUCAAAUAUUAAAAGUAUAUAACUUUUAUUUUGAAUAUUGUUUUUUUAAUUGUACUUUUUGAUUAAAUUAUUGUAUUAUAAUUUUUAUGUAAAUAUUUUUUGCGAUGUUUGAAUUUGUGUUGUUCGUAUAUUUAACCCAGAUGAUAUUGAUGUUUAACAAUUUAUUGUUUUCUGGAAAUAGAAAAUAAUGAUAUAUCAAAAC